CCCGCACAAGCGGUGGAGCAUGUGGUUUAAUUCGAUGAUACGCGAGGAACCUUACCUGGGCUCAAAUGUAUGUUGACGUAUUCUGAAAGGGAUACUUCUUCGGACAAUAUACAAGGUGCUGCAUGGUUGUCGUCAGCUCGUGCCGUGAGGUGUCGGGUUAAGUCCCAUAACGAGCGCAACCCCUAUCAUUAGUUGCCAUCAGGUCAAGCUGGGGACUCUAAUGAAACUGCCUACGCAAGUAGUGAGGAAGGUGGGGAUGACGUCAAAUCAGCACGGCCCUUACGUCCAGGGCUACACACGUGCUACAAUGGCCGGUACAAAGGGCAGCUACCUGGUGACAGGAUGCUAAUCUCAAAAGCCGGUCUCAGUUCGGAUCGGAGUCUGCAACCCGACUCCGUGGAGCUGGAAUCGCUAGUAAUCGCGCAUCAGCCAUGGCGCGGUGAAUACGUUCCCGGGCCUU
rnacentral:rRNA from 1 species